rnacentral:tRNA from 1 species
AUUUAUAUAGCUUAAUAAGAGCAUAGUAUUGAAGAUACUAGGGUAAUUACUAUAAUUUAUAAAUA